rnacentral:rRNA from 1 species
CAAUAGCGUAUAUUAAUGUUGUUGCAGUUAAAAAGCUCGUAGUUGGAUUUCUGAUGGGAGCCCUGGUCACUUUAACGAGUGUACUGAUGUGGCGUCCUGUCGUUUCAUGGGGAUGCUUGCUGGUAUUAAGUUAUCGGCUUGUGGAUCCAUGUCGUUUACUGUGAAAAAAUUAGAGUGUUCAAAACAGGCCAUCGCUGUGAAUACAUUAGCAUGGAAUAAUAAGAUAGGACUGUGGUGCUAUUUUGUUGGUUUGCGUACUACGGUAAUGAUUAAUAGGGAUAGUUGGGGGUAUUCAUAUUCAAUUGUCAGAGGUGAAAUUCUUGGAUUUAUGGAAGAUGAACUACUGCGAAAGCAUUUACCAAGGAUGUUUUCAUUAA